AAAUCCGGUUCACUUUAACACUGAGGCGUGACGACGAGGCACUACGGUGCUGAAGCAACAAAUGCCCUGCUUCCAGGAAAAGCCUCUAAGCAUCAGGUAACAUCAAAUCGUACCCCAAACCGACACAGGUGGUCAGGUAGAGAAUACCAAGGCGCUUGAGAGAACUCGGGUGAAGGAACUAGGCAAAAUGGUGCCGUAACUUCGGGAGAAGGCACGCUGACACGUAGGUGAAGUGAUUUACUCAUGGAGCUGAAGUCAGUCGAAGAUACCAGCUGGCUGCAACUGUUUAUUAAAAACACAGCACUGUGCAAACACGAAAGUGGACGUAUACGGUGUGACGCCUGCCCGGUGCCGGAAGGUUAAUUGAUGGGGUCAGCGCAAGCGAAGCUCCUGAUCGAAGCCCCGGUAAACGGCGGCCGUAACUAUAACGGUCCUAAGGUAGCGAAAUUCCUUGUCGGGUAAGUUCCGACCUGCACGAAUGGCGUAAUGAUGGCCAGGCUGUCUCCACCCGAGACUCAGUGAAAUUGAACUCGCUGUGAAGAUGCAGUGUACCCGCGGCAAGACGGAAAGACCCCGUGAACCUUUACUAUAGCUUGACACUGAACAUUGAGCCUUGAUGUGUAGGAUAGGUGGGAGGCUUUGAAGUGUGGACGCCAGUCUGCAUGGAGCCGACCUUGAAAUACCACCCUUUAAUGUUUGAUGUUCUAACGUGGACCCGUUACCCGGGUUGCGGACAGUGUCUGGUGGGUAGUUUGACUGGGGCGGUCUCCUCCUAAAGAGUAACGGAGGAGCACGAAGGUUGGCUAAUCCUGGUCGGACAUCAGGAGGUUAGUGCAAUGGCAUAAGCCAGCUUGACUGCGAGCGUGACGGCGCGAGCAGGUGCGAAAGCAGGUCAUAGUGAUCCGGUGGUUCUGAAUGGAAGGGCCAUCGCUCAACGGAUAAAAGGUACUCCGGGGAUAACAGGCUGAUACCGCCCAAGAGUUCAUAUCGACGGCGGUGUUUGGCACCUCGAUGUCGGCUCAUCACAUCCUGGGGCUGAAGUAGGUCCCAAGGGUAUGGCUGUUCGCCAUUUAAAGUGGUACGCGAGCUGGGUUUAGAACGUCGUGAGACAGUUCGGUCCCUAUCUGCCGUGGGCGCUGGAGAACUGAGGGGGGCUGCUCCUAGUACGAGAGGACCGGAGUGGACGCAUCACUGGUGUUCGGGUUGUCAUGCCAAUGGCACUGCCCGGUAGCUAAAUGCGGAAGAGAUAAGUGCUGAAAGCAUCUAAGCACGAAACUUGCCCCGAGAUGAGUUCUCCCUGAGACUUAAAGUCUCCUGAAGGAACGUUGAAGACGACGACGUUGAUAGGCCGGGUGUGUAAGCGCAGCGAUGCGUUGAGCUAACCGGUACUAAUG
rnacentral:rRNA from 1 species